AGCGAACGCUGGCGGCAGGCCCAACACAUGCAAGUCGAACGAACCCUUCGGGGUUAGUGGCGGACGGGUGAGUAACACGUGGGAACGUGCCUUUAGGUUCGGAAUCACUCAGGGAAACUUGUGCUAAUACCGAAUGUGCCCUUCGGGGGAAAGAUUUAUCGCCUUUAGAGCGGCCCGCGUCUGAUUAGCUAGUUGGUGAGGUAAUGGCUCACCAAGGCUACGAUCAGUAGCUGGUCUGAGAGGAUGACCAGCCACAUUGGGACUGAGACACGGCCCAAACUCCGACGGGAGGCAGCAGUGGGGAAUCUUUCGCAAUGGGCGAAAGCCUGGCGCAACCAUGCCGCGUGGAUUAUGAAAGUCUUAGGAUUGGAAAAUCCUUUCACCGGUGAAGAUAAUGACUGGGGCCGGAGAAGAAGCCCCGGCUAACUUCGUGCCAGCCGCCGCGGUAAUAC
rnacentral:rRNA from 1 species